GAGCGCCGUAGCAAUACGGAGCGGCAGACGGGAGAGUAACACGUGGGAACGUGCCCUUCAGUUCGGAACAACCCAGGGAAACUUGGGCUAAUACCGCAUACGUCCCGGCGCGAGCCGGGGGAAAGAUUGAUCGCUCCAAGAGGGGCCCGCGUCGGAUUAGGUAGUUGGUGGGGUAACGGCCCACCAAGCCUGUGAUCCGUAGCUGGUCUGAGAGGAUGAUCAGCCACACUGGGACUGAGACACGGCCCAGGCUCCUACGGGAGGCAGCAGUGGGGAAUAUUGGACAAUGGGCGCAAGCCUGAUCCAGCCAUGCCGCGUGGGUGAUGAAGGCCCUAGGGUUGUAAAGCCCUUUCGGCGGGGAAGAUAAUGACGGUACCCGCAGAAGAAGCCCCGGCUAACUUCGUG
rnacentral:rRNA from 1 species